UCUCUUCAGUCUGAAUCAUCAGAGUUUUGUUUUCAUCUGCGAUACAACAUGUUUAGACUCCUCAUCCAUUUAGCAGCUCUGCCAUUCUGUUUAUCAGAACUUUCAAAGUACAGUGUUCAUCAGACUCCCACUGCCGUGAUCAGACAUGCUGGAGAAGACGUCCUGAUGAACUGCAGCCAUUCAAACACUGAUUUUGAUAUGAUCCAGUGGUACAAACAGUCUGCUGGGAAAAAUGAUAUGGUUUUAGUUGGCUAUGUACGAUUCUCUUCAUCAGUUGUUGAAAGUCCAUUCAAAGACAGUUAUAACGUGAGCGGUACUGGGGGAAGUCUGUCAUGUCUUCAAGAGCCGAUCUGAGAACAGCGCAGUUUAUUUCUGUGCUGCCAGUAGAGCACAGUGCUACACAAACCCUCCGUCUUCUAAACCUCCUCUGAUGCAGACAGUUACACAAAAACACAAUUUACCACAUGACGACAAAUCAACCACAUUGUUGAUGACUGAUAUCAGACAGCUGGCUCACAGUGAGGCAGCUCGAUUCUUAUUUUAUCCGUUAGGGUGCAGUGUUCCUUCACAAAUCUUUGGAAAUGUGAUCACUUCUUCUUCUUAAUUUAUAUUCAUCAAAACUGAGAUGUGAGAUAUGUAGAUCAUCUCAAACAGUCCAGGAUGCCCGACUAACAAACUGAGCUAACCUUGGCUAAGCUUGGCAGCUAUAGUUGGCAGCAGUUUAUUUUACUGUCCACAGUGUUGAGGCGAAGAAACCGAAAAGAACAUUAGAGGGAAAACCAGAAAACAUUUUCUCCAUAAAAUAUGAUCCAGUUUUCCAACAGUCUGUUUUCAUAGAUUCUGGUUUGUUUGACUUCUUUACAAUCCAUCAAAAAGUAACACUUCAUUCAUUUUGUUCCUUGAAUCUUAAUCCAAUUUCCUAUGAAUGUAGUUUCCCAUUAGAUUUUAUUGAUUGAUUUAAUUAUUUAUUAUGUAUUUAUUUCCCUUUUCAUUGCCUCCUCAAAGUCAUUAACUGAAACUGUACAUGUUAAUGUAUAAUGAUAACAAUGUAUUAUAUAAUGAUGUAAAAAGGGAAAAAUACAAAAAGUACUGCUGUCUUGUCGUCUCGUUGUCUGCUGCAUAAUCUUGAAUGUUUUACUGGUUUCAGGUAA